rnacentral:lncRNA from 10 species
AGAUGGUAUGUUUGAAACUUAAUAUGAUGAACAUAGAACAGGGAUUUCAACACCUUUUUAGCAAAAGAUGUUCACAUAAACCUGAAAUGAAUAUAGCCAAAGAGGACGUGGUCUUUCAGCACCUCCAGCUAAAAAAUGCUGCAGAGGAACUUCCUGUAUUAAGGAGGGUGUGGGACAUGUAGGCAGUAUGAGAAGGGGUUGAUGGAAGCUUACUGACUGGUCAAGGCAGUGCAAGAAGUUUAACCUGUCUGGAAAUAUGGGGACAAGAACUGGAAAGGGCAGUCUGUGCAUGAAGAUUCCAGGAGAAGCCUGAUGAUGGAAAACCUUAAAAUCACAUCGAGGAUCAGUACAAAGUAGCUGCAUGAAGAAUGGAUGGGAGAAUAAGAAGCUAUGGCAAUAACGACAGUUAGAAUAUAUCAAUGGGCAUGGAGGAGGAGGCUGUUGACCUGGGGGGAGUACCAAUAAAGUUGGACUACAGAUGGGGUUUCACCAUGUUCGCCAGGAUGGUCUCGAUCUCCUGACCUCGUGAUCUGUCCACCUCUGCCUCCCAAAGUGCUGAGAUUACAGGUGUGAGCCACCACUCCCAGCCUUUGUCAUCAUUUCAGAUAGGGUGAAGGAAUGGUUUAAGUCGCCUCCAAGGUAUCUUGUUGGGGGUGAGGGGUACAGAGGGGUCUUACUGAAUGGUGAUGAAAAAGGGGACACAAGCGAAAAAUCAACAUUGGAGAAAAGAUAACUAAACCCUGGGAAGCUUAAGGAACAAAGUGUAACAAAACAACAUGGAUUGUUUUAUAAAAUACUUUGAGAUAUCCAGGAUUAAAAGUAUGAUAA